rnacentral:tRNA from 2 species
GCGGUCAUGCUGGAACAGGCAGACAGGCGCGUUUGAGGGGCGCGUGUCGAGAGACGUGUGGGUUCAAGUCCCACUGACCGCACCA